UACGGAGGGUGCAAGCGUUGCUCGGAAUCACUGGGCGUAAAGCGACCGCAGGCGGUCUGACAAGUCGGAUGUGAAAGCCCUGGGCUCAACUCAGGAACUGCAUUCGAAACUGGCAGACUCGAGUACGGGAGAGGGGGGUGGAAUUCCUGGUGUAGGGGUGAAAUUCGUUGAUAUCAGGAGGAACACCGGCGGCGAAGGCGGCCCCCUGGCCCGCAACUGACGCUCAUGGUCGAAAGCGUGGGGAGCAAACAGG
rnacentral:rRNA from 1 species